rnacentral:rRNA from 1 species
AUGACCAUAGAUCGAACCUAUCCUAUUUUUACAGUGUGAUGACUGGCUAUUCACGGACUAGCUGUACCUACUUUUUUUUUGGGAUCAAUAUCAGCAAUGCAGUUCAUCCAACGAUAA